rnacentral:rRNA from 1 species
UUGGAAGUUAAAAAACGUAACAAGGUUUCCGUAGGUGAACCUGCGGAAGGAUCAUUACUGAGUGAGGGUCCCUCGGGGCCCAACCUCCCACCCGUGUAUACCGUACCUUGUUGCUUCGGCGGGCCCGCCGCGCAAGCGGCCGCCGGGGGGGCGUCAAACCCCCCUCCCUAGGCGAGCGCCCGCCGGAGACACCAACGUGAACACUGUCUGAAGUUUUGUUGUCUGAGUUCGAUUGUAUCGCAAUCAGUUAAAACUUUCAACAAUGGAUCUCUUGGUUCCGGCAUCGAUGAAGAACGCAGCGAAAUGCGAUAAUUAAUGUGAAUUGCAGAAUUCAGUGAAUCAUCGAGUCUUUGAACGCACAUUGCACCCCCUGGUAUUCCGGGGGGUAUGCCUGUCCGAGCGUCAUUGCUGCCCUCAAGCACGGCUUGUGUGUUGGGUCGUCGUCCCCCCCGGGGACGGGCCCGAAAGGCAGCGGCGGCACCGCGUCCGGUCCUCGAGCGUAUGGGGCUUUGUCACCCGCUCUUGUAGGCCCGGCCGGCGCUGGCCGACGCUGAAAAGCAACCAACUAUUCUCCAGGUGACCUCGAUCACGAAAGCCCACAGCCUAAU